UCAGGAUGAACGCUGGCGGCGUGCUUAACACAUGCAAGUCGAACGGAGAUUACAUUUUAGCUUGCUAAGUUGUAAUCUUAGUGGCGGACGGGUGAGUAACGCGUGGGUAACCUGCCUUAUCCAGGGGGAGUAACAGUGAGAAAUUACUGCUAAUACCGCAUAAGCGCACGGUAUCGCAUGAUACAGUGUGAAAAGAGUUUAUCGGGAUAAGAUGGACCCGCGUCUGAUUAGCUGGUUGGUGAGGUAACGGCCCACCAAGGCGACGAUCAGUAGCCGGCCUGAGAGGGUGAACGGCCACAUUGGGACUGAGACACGGCCCAAACUCCUACGGAAGGCAGCAGUGGGGAAUAUUGCACAAUGGGGGAAACCCUGAUUGCAGCGACGCCGCGUGAGUGAAGAAGUAUUUCGGUAUGUAAAGCUCUAUCAGCAGGGAAGAAAAUGACGGUACCUGACUAAGAAGCCCCGGCUAACUACGUGCCAGCCGCGGC
rnacentral:rRNA from 1 species